rnacentral:lncRNA from 1 species
GAAGUUCCUUUGGAAUUGAAACAAAUUUCAAUUCUCAUAAGAUAUUAACAAUUGGGUGUCUAUCCGUUAAUAGUGGGGUGGAGGGGUUAUUGUCAAGAAAGAGUCCCUCUUAACAGAUGAGCAUUCCAAAGGCUUACCUGUGUGCCUGCCUUUGCUUUUUGGCCGGAGUGUGUGACCAGAGGUGGGGGCCAAAGGCUUUGCACUGGGACCAUGAAGGAAGUUCUGACAGGUGCUCCAAAGACCGGGCCAGUUUGUGAGAUCACCUUAGUGAUGGUGAAUGGGUUCUGCUCCAGCUUCCUCAUCGGCCUCCAAGCUGUAACAGAGAUGCUAAGAAUCCUUGGGAGGUGAAGAGACAGGCAGUGCAGCCCCUGCAUUGAGACUUCGAAGCUUGGCUCAUCAUGGGGUAGAGUCUGUUUUUCCACUGUGAAUCAAGUCUUGCUAUGUGGCUUGCUUUGGCUAAUAGAAUGUGAUAAAUGUGACUAUAUGUCACUUCAAGCUUAGGCUGCAAGAGGCAUUGCACAUUUUCAACUCAUGCUUUUGGGACCCUACCUCUGCCAUGAGAAAAAGCCAAGGCUGGCUAACGAGAAGGGAAAUGUCCAUAUAAAAGCAAGUUCAGUUGUUCCAUUUAAAGUCAUCCUAAACCAUGUAUAUUAUAAGAUCUCAGUCAAAUAGCACCACCCAUGUAAAGUUCAACUGAUCUCAGAAGUGUCAUGAAGCACAUUACAGACCAAACUUCCAAGCUGACCCUUAGAUGCAUAAGCAAUAGUAAAUGCUUAUUCAAAGCCACUGAUAUUUGGGGAGGUUUGUUACCCAGCAAUAGCUAACUGAUGCAACAGACUUUUUAAGAUAGUGUUAUUACUUAGGGGUGAGUAAAGGUGAAACAGAUUGUAUUUCUCAAGAUAAUCUCAUAAAUUAUCACAGAUAGAUAGUUCCAGAGUAAACAUCUCUCUGGCUUUGCAUUUUUUGUAACCAUCCACAAAUCCGAAUUGUAUGGUCUUUAGGGAGUAAAUUGUGUAUACGCUAUUAGAGCCAUACUUGGAUAAAAUAAAG